rnacentral:tRNA from 1 species
UGGGGCAUGGCCAAGUGGUAAGGCUCCGGGUUUUGGUCCCGGGAUCCCUGGUUCGAAUCCAGGUGCCCCAG